rnacentral:lncRNA from 1 species
CAUACAUGUGCAUGUCAGCAUACAAAGACAUAACAAGAUUAUGUCUUCCAUUAACAAACUACAUCCCCUAGCACUCUAUAUCUCCUUUAAUACAACACAGUACACUUCAGAAAUGAACUGAAAUAAUGAAACAAUUCAUUUUCAAUUUCUUCGUGCAGUGAAUGUUGGGAGGAAACAUGCACAACAUUGAAGGAGAUAUAAGACAAAUCUCACACUUCCCCUUCUAUAUAAACCACAUAGUCCCAAAAGACAAGCCCUUUCUGAGGACACCAUAACACUUCUUUUGGCCGCUUCUUUCCACUUCAGGAGCUUGUGGCACUUUUUCUUCAUUUUGAGAAUCCCACAGCUCUUUUUCCAGACUGCCUGUGCCAGUUCCCUCUGCCAAGCCUAGAACCCAGCCCUUCCCUGCUGAGCCUGGGCUGCUCCCUGAUCUUCUGCUGUGUUGGUCCUUCUGCUGCAAAGGAGGUGACUUGUUCCACACAACUGCACUCUGCUUACAAGGGGAACUCGUCUGUCUCGGUGCUUCCUGCUCGACCUCUUCAGUGCCAUGAACACCGCCAGGACCUUCUGCCCCAUCCAAGGGUGAGCGCAUGGGGCAUCUCCGGCUGGUCCCACAGCAGUGGCUCUCUGGAGACGCAAGGCUGCUGACUGCACCUCCCGAAGGGUCAUGCCACGUUCUCCCCAGUUUUCACAGACCACCCCUGCCACACAUUACUGUGCCUGAAGAUACAUCCUGUGUGAAAAGACUUAUUGUUCAUACAUUGUUAAGAAAAGAGGGACAGUACAAGAAUUUUCAAAAACACCUUCUCCAGCUUUUGCAUAGAUUCUGUCUAGAACAACACUAUACUAAUUUGGACACCAUCAUUUGA